AAGUCGUAACAAGGUUUCCGUAGGUGAACCUGCGGAAGGAUCAUUACUGAGGAACUUGCGUCGCUGAAUGCUGGCCUUCGGGCAUGUGCACGCGAUGCGACCUUCAUCCUUUACACCUGUGAACGUUUUAAGAAGGGAGCGACGAGAGUCGCCUCUUUCUCAUAUACAUACUACUUAAAUCGAGAACGUCUUAUACGAAAUCAUAAAACAACUUUCAACAACGGAUCUCUUGGCUCUC
rnacentral:misc_RNA from 1 species